CGAUGCAUGUAAUAGGUAAGUGUUUCUAUUAUGACAUCUGUUCUGUCUACUUACGAUGUAUAAAGGACAUAUAAAGCGGUCAAAGCCACUGCACUUCUAAAAUAUGGCAUGGUAGUGGUACACCAGUUGACGGCGUAGAUCAAUCAUCCCAGUUCAUGUUAAAGGAGAAUAUGUAUGUGUGACACAGUUUUUGUGAACUGUCUUCAUAACAACACGUAUAAUCCAAACAAUCAUGAUGUAGACCAAGAUGAAUAUUGUCAGGGGAGAUAAUAAA